UACAGAGGAGCCAAGCGUUGUCCGGAUUGACUGGGCGUAAAGCGCACGCAGGCGGCACCGCGCGUGGGGUGUGAAAUCUGGCCGCUUAACGGCCAGGCGCCAUCCCAUACGGCGGAGCUGGAGUGAUGCAGAGGUCGGUGGAAUUGCCGGUGUAGUGGUGAAAUGCGCAGAUAUCGGGAAGAACACCCGUGGCGAAGGCGGCACUCUGGGACGGUACUGACGCUGAGACGCGAAAGCGUGGGGAGCGAACAGG
rnacentral:rRNA from 1 species